GACUACGGCCAUACCACCCUGAAAGCGCCCGAUCUCGUCUGAUCUCGGAAGCUAAGCAGGAGAGGGCUGGUUAGUACCUGGAUUGGAGAACCGCCUGGGAAUACCAGGUGUUGUAGGCU
rnacentral:rRNA from 1 species